AGUGAACGCUGGCGGUAGGCCUAACACAUGCAAGUCGAACGGCAGCACAGUAAGAGCUUGCUCUUACGGGUGGCGAGUGGCGGACGGGCGAGGAAUACAUCGGAAUCUACUUUUUCGUGGGGGAUAGCGUAGGGAAACUUACGCUAAUACCGCAUACGACCUACGGGUGAAAGCAGGGGAUCUUCGGACCUUGCGCGAUUGAAUGAGCCGAUGUCGGAUUAGCUAGUUGGCGGGGUAAAGGCCCACCAAGGCGACGAUCCGUAGCUGGUCUGAGAGGAUGAUCAGCCACACUGGAACUGAGACACGGUCCAGACUCCUACGGGAGGCAGCAGUGGGGAAUAUUGGACAAUGGGCGCAAGCCUGAUCCAGCCAUACCGCGUGGGUGAAGAAGGCCUUCGGGUUGUAAAGCCCUUUUGUUGGGAAAGAAAAGCAGCAGGUUAAUACCCCGCUGUUCUGACGGUACCCAAAGAAUAAGCACCGGCUAACUUCGUG
rnacentral:rRNA from 1 species